rnacentral:rRNA from 1 species
GUGCCAGCAGCCGCGGUAAUACGUAGGGUGCAAGCGUUGUCCGGAAUUAUUGGGCGUAAAGAGCUCGUAGGCGGCUUGUCACGUCUGCUGUGAAAACUUGGGGCUCAACUCCAAGCCUGCAGUGGAUACGGGCUAGCUAGAGUGCGGUAGGGGAGACUGGAAUUCCUGGUGUAGCGGUGAAAUGCGCAGAUAUCAGGAGGAACACCGGUGGCGAAGGCGGGUCUCUGGACCGAUACUGACGCUGAGGAGCGAAAGCGUGGGGAGCGAACAGGAUUAGAUACCCGCGUAGUCC